UACGUAGGGGGCAAGCGUUGUCCGGAUUUAUUGGGCGUAAAGGGCGCGUAGGCGGCCACCGCAAGUCGGUUGUGAAAUCUCUGGGCUUAACCCAGAAAGGUCAACCGAUACUGCGGGGCUAGAGUGCAGAAGGGGCAACUGGAAUUCUCGGUGUAGCGGUGAAAUGCGUAGAUAUCGAGAGGAACACCUGCGGCGAAGGCGGGUUGCUGGGCUGACACUGACGCCGAAGCGCGAAAGCUAGGGGAGCGAACGGG
rnacentral:rRNA from 1 species